AGCUACGGCCAUAUCUAGCAGUCAGCACCGUUUCCCGUCCGAUCAACAGUAGUGAAUCUGCUAAGAGCCUGACCGAGUAGUGUAGUGGGAGACCAUACGCGAAACUCAGGUGCUGUAGUUU
rnacentral:rRNA from 3 species